AAGGCGUGGCAUCAGCAUGGCGUCAGUCAAGUGGCGCAGCCGCAAAGCUGCCCGCUGGGGAAGGAGGCCCAGCUGUGGUUCUAGCACGGACCUGGGGACACUGUGCUAACUGACAAGCUCAUCACAGAGAGGUGUACUCUGGCACCCACAUCCACAAAGCUAACACAUCUGGAGCGCAGACCCGAGAGAAGGAGAAAGCUGGGCCUUUGGUGGUGCUGGAUUAGAAACCAUGGUUUCUAGACACCCUUGUCUUACAUACUUCCUGCUUGGGCCAUUCAGCUUGCUGUCUGUUGCCUGCCUGGCACGCCAGAGCUACGCACCAUGUUCACAAACAGCGCCCGGCAGGACCUGCCCAUCCUGAGCCCACCUGGUCAGAGCACUUCCUGCUGUUGAGUUCUCUGCAAUCCUGACACUAACCUCCUGGGAGAUGGUUUAGCCUUGACCAUGCACUGCUUCAUGGUAAGUAGGAGUCAGUCCCUCCAGGAGUUUAAAAGAUGAAUGUUUAUUUCUCUCUCUCAACCCGUAAGUCCUCAGUUCAGCAGAGACUGAGAUAUACCUUUGAAUACGACUUCCCAGAAGGCUUGUAGCUCAUGGAGUGAAGAAUGCGUAGCCUGUGGGUGCAGCUGUGGCACAGACCCAUCUCCAGAGCGUCUUAGCAGGCCGGCACCCCCAUCAUCUCCAGAGCGUCUUAGCAGGCCGGCACCCCGUCUUGCUCUCCUGACUCACUCAGCUUGACUGGCUCUUGUCAUCAUGCUUUCGGAGGAGUAGAAAGACUUCCUGGCAUCAGUCCCCGGACGGCUGCAAAGCGUGGUUCAAGGAUUAACUGGGAAACUGUUAGAAAUGCAGACUCUCAGGCCUGCCUCACCACCCGCCGAAUUCUAAGCUGUGUUUGACUGUCUAGGCAAACUGUAAGACAAGGAAAGCUUAACAAGCCAUUUUGGCUUAUAACAAGUCAUGCUUGCCUUUUGAGUUGUCUGUUGUGGUUUGGAAAAUUAUUUAAAAAUGUGUUCCUUAAAGGCUCACCUCUCAGACUGUAAGCAAAGUGCAGUGACGCAUUUUGACGAAAGUGUCACAACGAAACCCCUUACUUUUGUAUACUAACUAAAAUAAGUCUUAACAGAAAGUCCCUGGCCCCACAGUGCUGGCAUCAGCAGGUAUCUCGGAACGAUAAAGAAAUGGGGUCCAUGGGAAGGUCCUAAGGUCGACUAAGCCCAUCCCUCGGGAGGAGCCAUGCCACGGGGUCUCUCUCUGGCUCCUGUUUUGUAAUGUGUUGCUGUGAUGUCAUUAGGCUCUCCCUAGAGGCCACACCAGAGAGGCUACUAGAGGCUGUGCACUAAGUAGGUAUCUUUAUGAGGUUAGCUUGCCCCAAGCAUUUCAUUAUAGUAACGGGUACCUCAGUAGUUACACCCUCGUUUCCUAUUCCAGGUCUGAACUCUCUCUGUGAUGACUGACAAUGGGAACACUAGCUAUUCAGUGGCUUGUGGUACGGGAAACUCCACCCCCACAGUGAUGUGGCCCCACCCCCACAGUGAUGUGGCCCCACCCCCACAGCGAUGUGGCCCCACCCCCACAGCGAUGUGGCCCCACCCCCACAGUGAUGUGGCCCCACCCCCACAGCGAUGUGGCUCCACCCCCACAGUGAUGUGGCUCCACCCCCACAGUGAUGCGGUCCCACCCCCACAGCGAUGUGGCCCCACCCCCACAGCGAUGCGGUCCCAAGCGCUGAAGAAGACAGUCCCCAGCAUCUACCAGACUGGCCAUUUAAAGGAAAAGCCCUAACUGGGCAGCACUGACACCUUACCCAGGGAGAACCUGGUCCUGCUCCCACUCCUUUUAUCAGUCCAUCUUCUUUUAUUAGGAAAGUAAUAUUAAAAUAUUAGCAUUUAAGACAAAAAUGAAUUUUAUAUAGGUUGACAUUACCUCUCAUCCUUGUCUACAUACAUAUUCAAUUUUUACAUAUUUGAUUCAAUAUUUUAUGAUUCAUUUUUAUAUCCUGCACUUUCAUCGACUGUGACGUUGAGAUGCACUUUCGUCCUCCCAGCCCCUCCCCUUUCUCCCGUGUCUUCCUGUCCUUUGUCUCUGGAGGCAGCUAACAUUAGAGACUUAAUUUCCAUGGUGCGACCCUUUCUCUGUUCUCCCAUAAACAACCAUGAAAUGUAUAAAUAAACAACAUUCCAUGUUGGGGUCAGGUUUUCUUUUCUGUCUUGACACGAA